rnacentral:rRNA from 1 species
UGGGGAAUAUUGCACAAUGGGCGCAAGCCUGAUGCAGCCAUGCCGCGUGUAUGAAGAAGGCCUUCGGGUUGUAAAGUACUUUCAGCGGGGAGGAAGGCGAUGCGGUUAAUAACCGCGUCGAUUGACGUUACCCGCAGAAGAAGCACCGGCUAACUCCGUGCCAGCAGCCGCGGUAAUACGGAGGGUGCAAGCGUUAAUCGGAAUUACUGGGCGUAAAGCGCACGCAGGCGGUGUGUCAAGUCGGAUGUGAAAUCCCCGGGCUCAACCUGGGAACUGCAUCCGAAACUGGCAGGCUUGAGUCUCGUAGAGGGGGGUAGAAUUCCAGGUGUAGCGGUGAAAUGCGUAGAGAUCUGGAGGAAUACCGGUGGCGAAGGCGGCCCCCUGGACGAAGACUGACGCUCAGGUGCGAAAGCGUGGGGAGCAAACA